rnacentral:rRNA from 1 species
UACGUAGGGACCAAGCGUUGUUCGGAUUUACUGGGCGUAAAGGGCGCGUAGGCGGCGACUCUAGUCAGAUGUGAAAGUCCUGGGCUUAACCUGGGGACUGCAUUUGAUACUGGGUUGCUUGAAUUCGGGAGAGGAUAGCGGAAUUCCCAGUGUAGAGGUGAAAUUCGUAGAUAUUGGGAAGAACACCGGUGGCGAAGGCGGCUAUCUGGACCGACAUUGACGCUGAGGCGCGAAAGCGUGGGGAGCAAACAGG